AACGAACGCUGGCGGCAUGCCUAACACAUGCCAGUCGAACGAGACCUUCGGGUCUAGUGGCGCACGGGUGCGUAACGCGUGGGAACCUGCACUUAGGUUCGGAAUAACUCCCCGAAAGGGGUGCUAAUACCGGAUAAUGUCUUCGGACCAAAGAUUUAUCGCCUUUGGAUGGGCCCGCGUUGGAUUCGCUAGUUGGUAGGGUAAAAGCCUACCAAGGCGACGAUCCAUAGCUGGUCUGAGAGGAUGAUCAGCCACACUGGGACUGAGACACGGCCCAGACUCCUACGGGAGGCAGCAGAGGGGAAUAUUGGACAAUGGGCGAAAGCCUGAUCCAGCAAUGCCGCGUGAGUGAUGAAGGCCGUAGGGUUGUAAAGCUCUUUUACCCGGGAUGAUAAUGACAGUACCGGGAGAAUAAGCGCCGGCUAACUCCGUG
rnacentral:rRNA from 1 species